rnacentral:rRNA from 1 species
UAUGACUCUCGGCAAUGGAUAUCUUGGCUCUUGCAUCGAUGAAGAGCGCAGCGAAAUGCGAUACGUGGUGUGAAUUGCAGAAUCCCGUGAACCAUCAAAUCUUUGAACGCAAGUUGCGCCCGAGGCCAAUUGGCUAAGGGCACGUCCGCCUGGGCGUCAAGCA